rnacentral:misc_RNA from 1 species
GGCAAUUCAUGGGCAUCAGCACAUGGAAUGUUUCAUAUGCAAGUUCAUCACAUAAAGGGAAAGAAUAUUACUAAUUUACUAUACAAAGAAGGUUGAAUAGGUUUUGAAAAUUGAUUGGCUAUGAGAAAAGAGGGAUUUUGUCAUUUUGACCAAUCAAUUGGAAGGUUCUGAACUUCUGAUUGAGAAUUAAUAAAACUUUUUUUUGAACUACGAUCAAUGUUCCGAUUUCAAAAAAUUUCUUACUUUAAAUUGUAUACCUCAUUUGUUUUCAAUGGAAAUUUCCAAAGAUAAAUGAAAGAUGAAAAGAGAUAAGAGCCUAAUUAUUUGCUAAUCAAGCUUUUGUUACUCACAUGAAGACUUGUAAAU